AGGGCCGGCCCUUGUGUGUAUCAAGUGGGGCAAUGGCCUAGGGCCCCUAAUUUUUGGGGGCCCCAAAAUAUAGAUCCAAUACUAAUGUUAUACCUUAAUUAAAAAAGAAAAAAAAUCUUUCACUACCUAUAGGUCAGCGAUCAACAGCAAGAUUAAAAAAAAAUUAUAUUCCAAAUUCCUAAUCUUAAAUGGUAACAGAACAUAAAAUGACUCUCUAUUGCAUAAAUUUAUAUUACUAAUCAUAAGAUACUAAUUUUAUUGGAUGAGAAACGUUGCAUAAAUGUUGUGUUAACUUUAAGAUGCCCUGAAACAUAAUGAUAAAUUUGACAUUGAUGCUCAAGAUUUAUUUUCUGAAUUACAAGUGUUACAAAUAUG
rnacentral:lncRNA from 1 species